GAAGAAGACAGCGUGGGCAGUAUUGUUUUGGUCGCCUGGUGUUUGCUGCAGACAGACCUCCACUGUGGGGACGUUUAAAUGUGGAUUUCACCUGCGACGGAGACCAGUGAGUCAGCAUAUGUCCCGAGUAGCGCUGGGCAUCGUCACAAAGUUGAAAAGGUGUCUUUCUGAACUCACAGACGGGAUAUGUGAGACAGCCAAGCUACCAACACGAUGCAACACACCAUGAUGUUCUGCCAGAGGUCGACUAGCUGAUUCGUGGUAUCACCUGUUUGAGUGCACAAGUGGAAUCAAAAUGUGGCAGGACUACAUGGCACAUUUUUAUUUUGUUAUUUUCCACCUCUGUUGUAUACUACAGUAAAUAAACCAAACAAAUAGUAACUGAGAAAUAGCAUGCUUCUGCAUCAGUGCUUUUAUUUUUGAUACUUGAGUAUAUUUUGCUUCUAACAUAACAUACUAAAUGACUUCAGUGUCUUGUUUUAGCCACUUUCACUUAAGUACGUUUUUGAAUGCCGGACUUUAACCUGUAGUGCAGUAUUUUCGUAGUCAUUAUUACUUCUUCUACAUAAGUAAGGCCUCAUUUACACUACCUGGUGCAAGUGGCCAUUUUACCUGUAAGUAAAGACAAUCUAAGUUUGCAGGCUGUAUACAUUAAUUUGAAUUGAAGUUCAUGUACUAUAAUUCAAACAUGAUGCAUUUUCUAUCCUUUGUAGAUGCAUCAUUCAGUCAUUCCAUGUGGUGGAAAGCCUGCAGUGGAACGCUGCACAACAUGCUGCAGUCAGUUCCACUGCCCCCUUUGUCCCAAAGGCAUGUUUAAACCAAGCCAACCAGCCAGACGUCAGCGGCAUUUGGAGGUCCACAUGAAAAAUGCCAUUGCAUUUGAAGGAAGAAGAGCAGCAGGCUGAGGUCUGCCACCACUGGAAGGGGACUCGGUUGAAGAUCGCAGUCUUGCGAUUGCAGACAUGCAACAGAGUGGGUUGGGGCCAACAAACAACUGUUCUCUGCCAAAGUGGACCUGCCUGAUGUUCUGUACAUGGGGGAGGAGAACCAGGCUGAGGCUGCUCUGCAGUAUGGGAGGGUGUGGAAAGAUCAAGUGGAUGACCAUGAAAAGGAAUCAGUCCUGGAGCCCUUCAUAUUCACAUUUUACACACUGAGGACGUGGAAAUUCUGUGAGGAAAUAAUGGACAAAAGAAAUAAUUUGGCCUAUUGUGAAUGUCACACAGAUGAGUGAGUUUGUGUUCGAGAAUAAAUGGCUACAGAACAUUUCA